rnacentral:rRNA from 1 species
GGACGGGAUUGAGGAGCUUGCUCUUCAUGAGAGUGGCGCACGGGUGCGUAACACGUAUGUAACCUACCUUUGUCAGGGGGAUAGCCUCUCGAAAGAGAGAUUAAGCCCGCAUAAAAUCACAGGGUGGCAUCACCAAAUGAUCAAAUAUUUAUAGGACAAAGAUGGGCAUGCGGAACAUUAGCUAGUUGGUAAGGUAACGGCUUACCAAGGCUACGAUGUUUAGGGGAUCUGAGAGGAUGGCCCCCCACACUGGUACUGAGACACGGACCAGACUCCUACGGGAGGCAGCAGUAAGGAAUAUUGGUCAAUGGGCGGAAGCCUGAACCAGCCAUGCCGCGUGCAGGAAGACGGCCCUACGGGUUGUAAACUGCUUUUGUACGGGAAUAAACCUCAGUAUGUAUACUGAGCUGAAUGUACUGUAAGAAUAAGGAUCGGCUAACUCCGUG